rnacentral:lncRNA from 1 species
UAGAUCUAGCGUAGCCCUCGGCUGAAAGGCGAUAAAAUCUUCUUCCCUUCCGAGGUGUAGGGCAUUGAAAACUAGAAACUGGCUAGUUCUACUCCCCAGGUAGCCUUAUUAUAACUGCACUUACCUGUGAUAAAUGGAAUCUGAAGAAAUAAAUGUGAUAUUCACAUAAUCUGAAAACAUAAAUUUGCCGAUUAGUUAUUCCUUUUAAGGAGUUUGACCUAUGGCGUAAAAACAAGAUGAGAAACUAAUCAAUCUAAAAAUUAUUUACAUUGUCUUCUUUUCAUUUAAAGAUAAUUGGAAGUUUGGAACUAGCCUACAUCGUUCACUCCACGUCAGGGACACAACACAAAAGCCUUCUUCUAGCUUUCAUGUCUCGCUCACAGCAUUAAAUUGGCAGGUCGGUAGAUUGCUCCCCAAGUCCUUGGAACUGGACCAGAUCAACGUCUGAAUACUCUAAAACACGCACUUAUACGAGGCAAAGAAGCAGGGAGAUCGGGCAUUGUUCGUCUUCCAAGUAACUUGAGGACAUAUAAGGGUCUCUAUGCCAAUGUGAUGACUCCAAUACACGGCUAUGUGGAGCCAGGUUAAAAGGUUACAUAGAAUGGAAAAAACCACCCUGUCGACUUGUGCCUCUCACCAGACAAAAACGAAGCUAAAAUGAAACCUCAGCACAGUCAAACAAGGAGAAUAACGAGAAACUAAAAGACAGGAGAUAUUCUUAAAGAAGCUAAAAACUUUGUGUUUCCAAAGAACAGUCAUACAAGAAGAAAGAAGACAAACUAAAAGCAGCAAAUAUUCUUGCAAUUAAAAACACUGCAUCACAUGUAGCGACAAUAGCAUUCAUAAUUUCCUGUAAUAGUAGAUUGCAUUUAUCCGCAUAAAUAGCAGCGGCAAAAAAAGCGGCUAUAUGCAAAGAUUUGCAUUAAAUGCAUAGAUUCGGUAUAUUGAAGAGAUCAGGAAAAUAUGAACCUGGUCAAGGUCAUUGCCUUCAACUCGCGCUUCAUCACCAUUGGCCACGUCAUCCUCUGUCUCUCCUCCGGGAACCAGCAGAGCUGUAUCAUCAUCCCAUUCCUCCUCAAUAAAUGGCGCAUAUCUGUCGCCAUUCGGAGGUCCUAAUCCGCUUUUUUGGAAGAUUCUACAAAGUACAAAAGCAUCCUUUUUCCUCGCAAACAAACAAAAACACAUUAAGAUUUAGCAUAUCUGUCUCCAUUCGGAGGUCCUAAUCCACUUUUUUGGAAGAUUCUACAAAGUACAAAAGCAUCCUUUUUCCUCGCAAACAAACAAAAACAUAUUAAGAUUCGAAACUUUAAUAGGAAGUAGCUAAGUCCACAACCUAUGCAUUUUCCAAAUGCAAAUUCGCACCUGC